UACGUAGGGUGCGAGCGUUAAUCGGAAUUACUGGGCGUAAAGGGUGCGCAGGCGGUUAUAUAAGACAGAUGUGAAAUCCCCCGGGCUCAACCUGGGAACUGCGUUUGUGACUGUAUGACUAGAGUACGGUAGAGAGGGUGGAAUUCCGUGGUGUAGCAGUGAAAUGCGUAGAUAUCAGGAGGAACAUCGAUGGCGAAGGCAGCCCCUUGGACCUGAU
rnacentral:rRNA from 1 species